rnacentral:lncRNA from 1 species
AUUCGAAGCAGAUCUGCCCACCUCCAAAGACUGUGGGAAUCCCUCCCUGCCCUGCUGAUUCCAAAGAAAAUGCCCAUUAAUCGUCAUCUCACUUUCCAAAGACCAGGACAGAAGGUACUGGCUGAACAAUUAACUUAUGUUUAUCAGAUGAUUCAGUGGCAUAUUUUUAGAUUAUGAUGAGUCCCAUGGUGCUCAAUUCCUACCAGGCAUUCUACUAGAAUGUUUAUAUGUGGCUCAUCCAUUCAUCGAGAACCUACUGUGCACUAUUCUAAAUGUUGAGGAUUCAGCAGUGAACACAUCAAGUAAGAAUUCCUGUCUUUUUGGAGCUUAACUUCAGCUGAGGGAAAGGGGAACAGCAACAAGUAAAUAGUUACACAGGGUGUCAGAUGAUAACUGCUGUGGUAACAGGUAGCUGGGAAUGGGGCAUGGGAAGCGAUGGGUGGCAGAGGUCACAAUUUUAAAUGGAAUAGUCAGGAUGGACUCACUGAGUGGAUUAUGCUUGAGCAGGUUUAAACCAUGGAGGAGGAGGAUUCCAAGCAGGGAACAGCUUGAGCUAAGGCCCUGAGGCAGGACUACACCUGUCCUGUUCCAAAAGGAAGCCAGUGAGCAAUGAAUGAGGAGGUGAGUAGGAGAUGAGGGCCAAGAGGUAAGAGGGGGUGGUAUCAUGUAUGACCAGUGUACAGACGGGUUUUUUUGCCCUCUGGGAAAUGGGGAACUGCUGUUUAUUUUUAAAUUAUAAUUAUGGGGAAUGCAAACAUUUCCAGGGAGAGAGUAAUAUACUGAUCUCUCAUGUACUGAGCACCCUCUUUCAACAACUAUCAACUCAUGAAGUCAUGGCCAGUCCUGCGUCAUCCCUGCCCCUCUCACUCUGGUUUCACCCAAGGACAUGCCCAGGGACCACAGGUGGGCGGAAGAAAGCAUGACUCCAGGGCUUGAUGUUGAUCAGAGGGACCUGUCACUUCAUUUCAUCCUUUUAAACUUUACAGCAUUGGGCUUCUCAACAGAAAUGCUGGCAUCUCAAAUUCUGAGGGAAGUCAUUUCCAGCCUGAAUUUUACACCCAGGCAAUUUUACACCCAGGGAGAUACAGUCAAGCGCUUCAUUCCCGGAAGUGGUCCGGAGGAGAAGAGGUUCUCUAGAAAACCGUGUUGUGUGACGUCGGAUUGUUGCUCACAGCACAGUGGGGCUGCCGGGAAGAGGUGA